UAAGUUACCAGGUCCUUCCUUCCGUCCGCCGUAUAAGGCACCUAUAAACGAACCCUCUCCUUUCUUUCUGCCUGGGGGUACGGUAAGGUAAGUUGAGUUAGGUUGAUUGAACCUUCCUUGCGCGUCGAGUCUCAGUCUCCUCCCCCGGCCCAGACCCAGUCCCAGGCCAGUCUCCGGUCGCUGCCGCGGCAGCGGGAGGGAGCUAAGGGAAGUUUGGACCGGCGGCGGGGGUUAAAGGAAGGGGAGGGGAGUUUAAACCGGCGGAGGGGAUAAAAAUAGGGGAGGAGGGGUCUAACGAGCAAGCGAGGAACAUAUAGGGUGUUCUUCUUCUCUGCCUAAGGGGACGUCGACGUCCGUCUAAGUAGCAGGGGAAGGAACGGAGGUAGGGAGGGACCUCGUUCCUUCGUCCGCCCGUGGCCGACGGCAGCAGGUGCCCCGAGCCGACAGUUGGGUGGAACCGUCGGUGGGGUGUUAGGGUUGAGGUCGAAGAGGCCGGUGGGUCCUGGCUGCUCCCGUCCCGUCCCGUCUCGUCCUGUUUGUGUAUGGUGUUGUGGUCGAGGAGGAGGAUGAGUAACCGUCUUAGACUAACUAACUAACGACUCUCCGUGGUUUUCCCUAUACCGUAGGAAGGUGGCCGGGGAGAGGCGGUACCGCCAGCGGCGGAAACGGCGGCAGAGGAGGUAGCUCGACGGACUGUUUAAGAGGGUGGUGUUGUCCGAGGGGCUGCUACAGCAGAGAGAAGGGCGGUCGUUUGGUCUCCGGUAGUGUCGUGGAAGUCGGGACGGCGACAGGCCGGACGUCAAGUACGGUGCCUUGGAGGUCCGAAAACUGGGCCGUUUCCGCGGGCAGCGCAGGGACGGCCAGUAAGUCUGCCAAAUGGUCAUGCGCUCCAAGCGGUUCUGGAGUGGCCUUGUUCUCCACCGCAAUGGCCGGUAGGGAAGGAGGAGCAGCCUACGAGACAUGGCGACCGUAGACGGCCUGGGCUCCCGCACGGUGCCGAGCGGGCUGUCCAGGGUCUGCCAACAUCAAAACGAGCCGACCGACCCGAGCUUCGUCUUCGUAGACUUCUCUAUACGGCUAACCAUGUGGAGGUCCCCCAAGGUGCGGCAGUGGAAGUGGGAGGGGUACAGGCUGUAGCAGUCGAUAUUACAGCCUCCCUUCCGGCUCUUCUUACACCUCUACGAGAGACUUGUAGAACCACUAACCCAGUCCCUCCUCCUGCCCUUCUUCUAACAAAAAGUGUGAAAGUCAUUGUGGCCGACCGAAACGAUACCGCAUUAUGACCUCUUGAACGUCGCCGUCCUAGGAAGUCGUCACCUCUUUUAGUUCCCAAGGUAUUAGCUAAGUCGCGGACAACGACAAGGCCUGAGAGUCCACACCCGAGAUCCAAAGAGUCGACGAUAGUACUUCUUUGUGUCACACCGUUGUUUUCCGCGACGUGGUUUAUGUUCCAGACUGCAGUAUCAACACCUCAGGGUCUUUCUAUAGUCUGGUCGUCGAUGGCUCCGCCAAGAUGAUAGACGUAACCUUUUCAAAAAACUAGAACAAGACUUGAUAGGCCGGCAUUUAUCCUCCAACAGACCACAAUACCUCGAAAACAGGAGUUUGGUUGGUUCGACAGGAGUCGACAUGUAUAUGUCGAGGCGUCUAGCCCAAUAGGGUCGUUUCAGCCACCUCAGUAAGCACCUCUCCGUUGCCUUUCGUCCCACGCUCCACUCCAGCACACUGAAACACAGCAGGGGAGUACAGCUGGUAAUGGCGUCGUUAGGCCCCGACAUGUGGAGAGUCGACUGGUUGAAGAACCUCCUGACGCACGACCGGGCGGCGCUCCUGAGGAGCAGCGCCAGUGGCAGACGUAUCCCACAAAGACGUCGUUAUGGUUGUAUAAGAAAGGACCACUAGGUAACUUUACAUGGUCCUAAUAUGUAGCUGAUUAAUAUGUAGACUGGGUUAAAUGAGCAAGGAACAACAACCAAGCGAACACCCAAAUACAAUCCUCCGUGUUGACAUUUUUUGCACUCCCUCUUUUCGUUUUGUUUUAAUACCAACCGAACGACAACCAAGGUCACGUGUUCGUGUUUGGUAACUAAACACACCCUCCCUCUACACAAACAAAGAAACACGUAUGAGACUUAGAGCUUACUGACCAAAUGAAAGAGAGACACACCAAGCCCGACACUAGGACGUUUAAAGAACACGGAUGACUUCUUUCAAAGAUAAAUGUAUGUACCUCAAUAAAGGCCACAAGGUUUAUAAGUCUCAACCCCGACACUUUCCUUUAUAAGUCUACAGACGACAACACGAACUCACUUACAAGACUUUACUUUACCUAGUUUACGAAGGUCACAUGGGGUUCACACUCUCGUUUUUAAUUCCUCCCUGUAGACUACGUGUUUAAUUGUCAACCGAUAUGUCUAAACUUAGUUCUGUUCAGUGACAAUUAACUAGUACUUCACUCUCGUGUUUAGUCCAUUAUGUGUUAUGUACUUCUCCGGUUUGGUACCACGUUUAGUCUAUUUCCUUGCUUGUG
rnacentral:rRNA from 1 species